UACAUUCGCGUGCUGCCCACCGUGUUCAGCCAAUCCCGUUCAGGCUGGGGGAAGUGACUUUUUCUGAUUGGUGCAUUCCAACUCCCCUCAGCACGGGCUGUUCCCGCCCAGAUGUUGGUGAGAGGCUGAGAACUGUUCCUUCUCUCAGUAGAUUCCUGAAGGUGUGGCAGCCAGUGGAAAAUGGUGUUGGUAUUUAAGGGUUGGAGGAGAGCGCUUGGGAUGUAUGCUACGUGGUGAUGCAUCUGCAAGCAAACCAAAGCAUAGCAUGGAGCGAUUGCUUAGUCGCUUUCUCUCAGCCCAUCAUCCUAUUAGUUGGGAAAGCUGUGCAAAUGCUGAGUGCAGGGAGGGGACCGGAGCACAAUGAGAAAAGAGAUUUGGCAAAGGGCCCCUUGCAGGGAAGCAGAAUUGAGGCCUGAACCCCCAAAGCCUACACACCAGCUCACACUGUCAUCCAGAAACUGGUUCAUCGCUCAGAAGAUACUGUCUGAAUAGAGACAUUGUUUCACCUUACAGAGAUGAACUACUGUUAACUUUUACAUUUUUUUUCUUCUCUUACAUACUCCUCCAAACUUUGGAAAUGAUUCCAUUUUUUAUUUUGACCUGUGAAAGAAGGCUGAGACCUAAAAGCUACUAAAAUGCUACAUUAUAAUAAGAGACUCAGCAGUUUAAUUAAAGCUAUUAUUUCUCCCAAUAGACCUUGAUUCUCUUAUGUUCUUACACAAAUCUCAGUAUGACUGCUGCACACUUUAAAGUUACUUUUCUGCUUAGAAUAACCAUACAUUUAAAUUUGCAUUUUAAGUAGUGUGACAUGCUUCUAUCACUUCAACAUUAGUACUGAAAUCAAGAUCUUCUUUUGGGAACCCAAAAGACACUGUCAUCUUCCUCUAAAGAGCACCAGUUAUCUUUAUUAUAACUGAACCUCAGUAAACUUUACCUUAUUCUCCUCAUUUUGUUACUUGCCAGUGCCCAUAGGAGAACAACAUGAUAUAAAAACAAUUUUUUUUCUCACUAAAGAUCAAUAAAUGUGACCAAACAAACAGAUCAAAUGAGUAACGAAACCACCAUUUUUAUAACUACCUGCCAGGUGAAAUCAAACUUGAGAACACUUCACAGUGAUGUUUUAAAUAUCUCUACAAAUAUGUACUUCCAUUGCCCAAUUUUUCUCAUUGUUAAGCACUUUUUUUUUCCUAAUGUCUGAUUUAAAUAUUUCCUUUUAUGCAGUAAUUUCACGCUAUUGCUCCUUAUUAUGCCAUUUUCAGCCUCUGCCAAUAACACAACAGGGAUUCUUGCUGCUCAAUUAUUUGUAGACAGUUAUGUCCCUAUCAUAGCCCCCCCUUUGACUCCUUUUCUCUUGGUUCUGCAUAUCAAAGUGUGGUUCUGUCUGCAAAGUGUAAAGUAUAUAUAAUGAGAUAUGGUAUUUAUCAUCCAUCAUUUGUUUUUGUACAAAAAUGAUACAACAUUUGCAUGUCAAAAGCCUUUCUGCCACUUCUCCAACUGCUAGAGCAGCAAACUCAGUCUGGGCUCUGAAAGUCAAGCUGUGUUCCUUCUGCUUCAUACAUCAUCUUUCUAAUAAAAGUUCUACAGUGAGACCCAGCUGCAAUUCUGCUGAUGACGCAUGCAACAAAAUAUAUACCAGCUCAUAAUACCAUUGGCUCUACAGUCAUAACAGAAGUAAAAACUAGAUGUCAUUCAGUGAUUGUGAGUGACAUGAAUUAAUCACCCGGGACCAAGCAAUGUUGUCAGUACCUUAUGCCCAGUAUCUAGCAGAAGUCUUUCCUUCAGACAGUUUAAUUUCUGCAGCUUAGUACUGUGUACAAAAGAAUGGAGAGGAAAUCGUUCCCAAACCUUUUCACUGGUUUAAAUGUGUGAUUCAUAUUUUGCUGUUUUCUCCUGAGUUGGUUUCCAACCUUUCAAAACUGUCAUUAAAUAUAGUGCCUUCUUUGAUGUGGACUCUCACUGCAGAAUUUAAAAAAUGCUCUUCUGACAUAUAAUGGAAAAAAAGAAGAGAAUUCUAACCAACAGCUUGUUUCAUUUAAUUCAUCUGAGAGCUAACCAGAAUUAUAUCCCAUGGUACAGAACGCAGCUCUUUUUUAAAACUUUCUGCCAAGGUGAAGAUUAUCAGCAGCCAUCCACAGGUAGUGUUCAACCAUUGGUAAAAUGGUGAUUUUCUUUGCUGCUGUAGGUACUAGAGGCCCUGUGUUACUCCCAAGUUUUCCCUUUUAUAACAAUGUUUGAGCCUAUCCAUUACUUGAGAAACUGUCCUGAACACGAUUAGGAACUUUCUAAUUUGUGUGAUUGUGUAGUCUGUGCUAAAUAUUAGAAGGCAUCAGAAAGGUACAGACCACACCCUUCUUACUAUGAAAACUUUGUAUCCUCCUUGACUUCUUUCUAAUCUCUGCACAGGUUUACCUUUUCAUGGAAGCACAGCAGUAAGCCCCCACAGUUCAUGAGCCAAUGACUAUUUACGUGUCUAUUAGUUCUUGUAAUCAACUUUGUGAAACUUCUUUGAAUGUGGUUUUAUUUUUGGUAUUUAUAUUUUGGUAAGUCUUCUGUCUUCAUUAAUGUGACUUAUCUGUAAGUUAAGUUGCAGAUAGAGACAAGCAUUUAUCUUGUCUGUUAACAAAUGGGUACUGUAGAAAGCAUGAUCUAAAGCUGGAAUUGUCUAGAAAAUGGCAUUGCAUGAGCUUCAACCUGCACUUAAAAUUUUUCACCCUAGAUAGUGCUGUGGAAUGUGUACAGGGUGGCUUUAUACAUACUGUCAAACACAAUUUGAAGUCAAACCACCUUAUUAGACAACUCCUUAAUCGGUGUAAUAUUUUAAAGAGGAAAUACUGGUUAUCAAAUUGGGAUUAAAAGACAGCAAUAUCCAUUCUGGUGACUGCCAAACAGUCACUGCAGCCAGACCUUCACAUAACUGAGAACAUAAAAAGGUUUUUUUGGUUGGUUUUAUUUGUUUGUUUGUUUGACAGUCCACUACAAGCUACCAAUGUGCUUAUCUGUUUCAUCUUACAUGAGCUUGUAAGGCAUUUCUGUCAAGUUAAAGAUGUGAAGAAUUACAUUUUUUCCCAGUAAUGCUGGAGCAAGUAUUUCCUGUCAGAACUUGAUUUUGCAUGCUGCAACUCAAGGCAAAGCAGUAUAUUUUGCUUACCUAACAAAACCAAGCAACCAACCCCAAAUAAAUCCCAAACAGCUGGUGCCUUAA